CCUACGGGAGGCAGCAGUGGGGAAUUUUGGACAAUGGGCGAAAGCCUGAUCCAGCAAUGCCGCGUGAGUGAAGAAGGCCUUCGGGUUGUAAAGCUCUUUUGUCAGGGAAGAAACGGUGAGAGCUAAUAUCUCUGCUAAUGACGGUACCUGAAGA
rnacentral:rRNA from 1 species